CUCUCUCUCUCUUCUAUUUCCUCCCUCGCCCAGCCCAGCGCCGCCGCCAUCGCCUCCUCGCCCAGCCAAGCACCGAUGCCAUCGCCGCCUCCUCUCCGAGCGCCGCCGCCGCCGCCUCCUCUCCCAGCACCGCCGCCGACGCCAUAACCCCUUCCCCUAUAUCCCAUGGGGUCGGGGUGAGCACCGUCGACCCCAUCGUUUGUCCUCUGCCCACGCAAGUCCGUUCACCUCGGCCUCCUCCUGUGUCGUCGUCGGCCCAGCAGAGGCGGUCGAGCCGUUGAGGUGAGCAGCGUCGGGCAACUGUACGCGUAGGGAUCUAGGCGGGGAAGAGCUGCAGCCGACCGCCAAGGGGGAGGGGCCCAAGGAUAGGCCUGCGCUGGCGGUGGCGAUGACGGAGGCGGAGGUGCAAGUGAAGGAGCAGGACGGAGGUGUGGUGGACAAGGCCGCCAUGGCCGCCUUUGACACAGCGCCUGCAUCUUCAUCCACUGCCUCUCUGCCAUGUGUCUUCUGAUUACCACAAUAACACAAUUUCCUUAUUCAUGCUUUACGGAUUCUUGCUGGAGGAGAUGAACUUUUAUGGCUGAUGCUGUUGUUAUUAUAGAGGAGCUGUUCAAGGCCAAGGUUUUCCUUGUGAGAAUGCCAUAAUUACAAGAAAAGAUUGCCUGAAAGGUCUUUAUGGAGAUGCACUCACUCGGUCAGUUGCCCAUUGUAUUUUUUGGCCUGUUUGUUACAAUUUCUUGAGGCACAUAAUGCUGUUCGUACAACCUGCAGGUUAGAGGGCCUACCGAGGCUAGCGGGAGGUCUGCUAUGGCAUCGAUGAUGUAGGUGUCAUGACUGUGAGGACUGCUCACACUUCUCCGCUCACAAACCGUGUGGCAGAGUAAAUACUCCGGUCCACGACAAUUAGACCUUCCUCCCUCUCAGCUAUGGUGCCACAAAGUGCCCAGGCAGCAGGAAGCACAUAUAAAACCAUUGAUGCUCUUUUCCGUAGGAGAAAUAAGUGAACGGGCAAUCUUUUCAUCUCUGUAUAAAUUCAGAUGUGAUUAGCCAGGUCCAGAAGUUGGAUUCUUGAUGUGCACAUAAAUACGUUGAGAAGAUGGAACUAGAAUUAAGCUUCCGUCCAUCUGCAGGUCACGGCUAACGUCAUCAAGCAUCAACAUCAAGAAACAAGCAGCCAACAGAAUGCAGCAAAGCAGCUAGCGGCAGCAAGCAGCAAACAACAUCAGCAGCAUGCAGAGGCGAUUUCUCACCUUGCUGUUAGUGCCGAGGUCGGGCGGAGCAGAGCAACGAGCUCCACACAGUGGCAAUGAUGGUCAGCGUCGAGGAAGAAUUAGGAGGGACCCAUGGCUUCGAAUGCCGAGGUCGGGCGGAGCAGAGCAACGAGCACCACACAGCGGCAAUGACGGUCAGCGUUGAGGAAUAAGUAGGAGGGACCCAUGGCGUGGUCCAGGGGAGACGUGGACAACGCGGAGCCCAUCACGGUCUGUCGAGCUGUUCGGUGAGGAGGAUGACCGCAGCGGCGACCGACGGAACCGAAGAAGGCAGCCUCGGUCCAAGAGGUUCCUGCGCGCUGGCACCCGGAAUCACCAUUAAAGGGACGACAGGAGCAACAUUAAUGAAGCUAGGAGUCUACUAGGAGCAAGAAUGCACCAGAAAUACGAGGUGGUUCCCGGCGGUGUCCAGCGGGCAUGCAUGUCAGAGCCAGAGGUGUGGACGUCGAUCCCGACCGAGGGCUGGUGUAUCCGGCCGAUUCAUUCGGUUGACGUUGCAACAGCGACUGGCAUCCCCGGCGAGCUGGACGAGAAAGGGGAUCUAGGAGGGAAAUGAAGUGAGGGAAGCAACGGGGCAGAGUAGGAGAAAAGGUGAAGGGGCAGGGGUUUGCCGGCGCGUGUCCCUGCGAGAUGGUGAUGUGGGCGUGGUGGUUCAGUAGUGGGGGCCGGUGGCAGCUGUCUUCCACCAUGUAUGCUGAAGGCAUUCCAUCUAAAACAACAUUGAGUGCGUGCUUAGAUCAGGUAAGACAAUGGCAAGAAUAAAUCCACCUAUCUGACUUUCCUCUAGGCAUUUCAAUUUGUCAGGAGCUGAAAUAUUGUGACCCGUGUUCAUUUAUGUGUUGCUAACUUUACAAGCGGCAAUCACACACUGCUUACACCAUGUACUAUUGGAUUGACGCACUUCCUUGAGCUCUA